rnacentral:rRNA from 1 species
UACGAAGGGUGCAAGCGUUAAUCGGAAUUACUGGGCGUAAAGCGUGCGUAGGCGGUUUGUUAAGUCAGAUGUGAAAGCCCCGGGCUCAACCUGGGAACUGCAUUUGAUACUGGCAGGCUAGAGUACGGUAGAGGGUGGUGGAAUUCCCGGUGUAGCGGUGAAAUGCGUAGAGAUCGGGAGGAACAUCCGUGGCGAAGGCGGCCACCUGGACCAGUACUGACGCUGAGGCACUAAAGCGUGGGGAGCAAACAGG